rnacentral:rRNA from 1 species
GCAUCUUCUGAAUACGCCGCAAGGCAAAACAAAUAAAUCAAAACUUUCAACAACGGAUCUCUUGGCUCUGGCAUCGAUGAAGAACGCAGCGAAACGCGAUAAGUAAUGUGAAUUGCAGAAUCCAGUGAAUCAUCGAAUCUUUGAACGCACAUUGCGCCCGCCAGCAUUCUGGCGGGCAUGCCUGUUCGAGCGUCAUUUC